AUUGAACGCUGGCGGCAUGCUUUACACAUGCAAGUCGAACGGCAGCGGGGAGGAGCUUGCUUCUCUGCUGGCGAGUGGCGAACGGGUGAGUAAUACAUCGGAACGUGUCGAGAAGAGGGGGAUAACCACCCGAAAGGGUGGCUAAUACCGCAUAAAUUCUGAGGAAGAAAGCUGGGGGCCUGGGAAUAGGCCUAGCGCUUUUUGAGCGGCCGAUGUCGGAUUAGCUAGUUGGUGAGGUAAAGGCUCACCAAGGCGAAGAUCUGUAGCGGGUCUGAGAGGAUGAUCCGCCACACUGGGACUGAGACACGGCCCAGACUCCUACGGGAGGCAGCAGUGGGGAAUUUUGGACAAUGGGGGCAACCCUGAUCCAGCCAUGCCGCGUGUAUGAAGAAGGCCUUAGGGUUGUAAAGUACUUUUGUUAGGGAAGAAAAGUCAGCUGUGAAUAAUGGCUGAUACUGACGGUACCUAAAGAAUAAGCACCGGCUAACUACGUG
rnacentral:rRNA from 1 species